CUACUUGACUAUCUACCUUGCUGACAUUUAUACUCUUCCUUUCCCUCCAUGGAGCUCAGCGUUUGGUAUAUUCCCCCCAAUCAGUCUGUCAUCUGGAUCCCGAAGAGGCCCACAAAACCUCAGCACCAAAUGCCACAACAGGGAGCUGAAUUUGCUGACAAAAGAACAUCGUGAACGUGCGAUCUCCCGUCUUGCAAGUGUAAAAACCGUUUGGGAUCAACCCUUGGCUGAGAGUCGCAAAACGGCAUUGUCACACCAAGGACACUCACUAUCUGAAAGCUGUUAAAAAUGAAAUGGACCGCCUUCAAGUUGCUCCAGACUUAUGGCCACCCUAUGAAUAGGGUUUUCAGGGCUCCUGGCAUCUGCCACUGACCAGCAUGAAACAAGUUGCAUUCUUCGAAAGCCUCGGGGGAACAUCUCUCCGUUAUCUCGCUAUGUUCAGUGGCAGCAACAAGCGGCAGCCUCUGCCAAAACACAACCCUGCAUCAAUCAGUCUCUCAUGCUGGAACCACCUGCUCAAGAGGCACAGAUCUGCCUCUUUUUCCAACCUGUGGGGUGUUUCAUGCAGUAGCAGUGUGGUUGCCCCCCCCAAAGGGCAGUGUCCUUUGCUCCAAAUUAUGCACUCUUCCUGAUCGCUUCCUUUACCCCAGUUCUGCUUUAUUAACCCCAAUGCAGCGUUGUUUUUUUCAAACUUUCUACCAUCAGGAAAGAUUUGCAAACAUCUCUUCAUUGGGGCAUUUUCUAGGGCAGUCAGUUCAAGCAGGGGUCUAACCAGGUUUCUCUGCCUCUUCCAACACCCUCCGAGAAAUGAGAGAACGCCCUUGAAUAGAUUCUAAACACACUCCUCUCAAGUUGUGCACUUCAGGGGAAGAGCAAAAGUAGGUGGAGCCGCUAUUUCCCAUCUCAGGGAACCUGCCUUAUACCAGGUCAACCUGUUGGUUCAUACAGGCCCUGCUAUUGUCUACUUGAUUCUUCAGGGUCUUGGUCAGACGUCUUUCCCAAAAAAACUGGUUAGUCCCUGCUCUCUCUCUCUCUCUCUCAUUUCCAUCUGGACUGGGAGGGCUGGGUCCUGAUGGACUACCAAGGCUGCUAGUUAGGGGUUGCUGCUGGGGUAAAGCCUUGGCUUUGGAAAUAAAUGCAUUACCUGGAUUACGUUCGUGAAUUUAGAUAUAGUUUUGGAGAUGCACUGCUUGGAUUAUGUUCUUGAAUUUUUACUGUUAGGCUGCAAUUAUUGUGGACUGUUUAACUGCAUUGCCUAUUUAGUAAUAUGAAUGUUUUCAUUAGCCUAUCAUUUAUGACCAUUUAAUUUUUG